rnacentral:rRNA from 1 species
AUGCUCCCCGAGGGCCCCCAGCUCCACGCGCUAGCGGCCAAGCUCGCGCUCGCCCUGGCCCGCACCGUCGUCGCCAACUCCCUCCUCCACCUCUACGCCUCCUGCGGCCUCCCCGACGCCGCGCUCACCCCGGCCCACACCGUCGUCGCCAACUCCCUCCUCCACCUCUACGCCUCCUGUAGCCUCCCCGACGCCGUGCUCGUGCUCUUCCGCCGCAUCCCCACCAAGUCUGUCGUCUCCUGGAAAACUGCCGUCGACGCGCUUGCCGGCGACAGCGACCACCUCAACACGUUCGACCUCUUCCGGGAGAUGCAACGGGGCACGAGCCUCGCGCCCGACGCCUACAUCGUGGAGAGCGUCAUCGGCGCGUGCGCCGGCGCGGGCGCGCUCUCGCUCGGGGUCUACGCGCACGCACUGCUGCUGCGCCAGCUCGGGGGCCACGACGAUGUGUCCCGUGACGGGCUCAUCAACAACUCGCUCUUAGACCUCUACGGCAAGUGCGGAGCCGUCGAACUCGCACGGAAGGUGUUCGACCAGAUGCCCAAGCGGGACAUCACGUCGUGGAACAUGGCGAUUCUCACACUCGCCAACCACGGAUGUGUGCGCGAGUCCUUGGAGCUAUUUGAUUGGAUGACGUGGGUGGAGAAUGUUGUGCCCAACGCAAUCACCUUUGUUGCGGUUCUUAGCGCGUGCAACCAUGGCAAGAUGGUGGAGGAAGGCAGAAGAUACUUUGAGAUGAUGGUCAGCGAGGUGCAAGAUCAGGCCGAGGAUCAAGCACUACGGGUGCAUGGUGGACAUAUUGGCAAGAGCUGGCUUCAUCAAAGAGGCUCUGGAUGUCGUGUCUGGUGA